GGAGAUUAUGUCAAUUUACCCUUCACUUUCACCUCCUACUUUGUCGCCAGUUGCAUCAAACCGUGUCUGCAAUGCACUUGCACUUCUUCAGUGUGUUGCUUCACACCCUGAGACCAGGAUCCCGUUCUUGAAUGCUCACAUCCCACUGUACCUAUACCCGUUA